UACAGGGGGUGCAAACGUUGCUCGGAAUCAUUGGGCGUAAAGCGCACGUAGGCGGUCUGUUAUGUCGGAUGUGAAAGCCCUCGGCUCAACUGAGGAAGUGCAUCCGAAACUGGCAGGCUAGAGUACUAAAGAGGGUCGCGGAAUUCCCGGUGUAGAGGUGAAAUUCGUAGAUAUCGGAGGAACACCGGUGGCGAAGGCGGCGACCUGGGUAGAUACUGACGCUGAGGUGCGAAAGCGUGGGGAGCAAACAGG
rnacentral:rRNA from 1 species